ensembl:lncRNA
GUAAAUCACCUACCCAACCUUUAAGCACUGUGACACUACUCGGGCUCUGACGACCCUGGAAAGCUCCCGUAUCCGUCAGCCACGCCUUCCGACGACCUUUGACGGACGGUGCAGUGGGCACGAGGCGUGGCAGUAUAAGUUCACUAAAUCCCCACCUCGACCACAGAGGGACGUAUUUAAACCGUCGCUUCUCCGAUUGGAUUAAUAGCCUACUGCCCUACUUGUUCACAAGAAGACCCACGUUUUACUAGGUAAUAAGAAAGGCAUACAUGUUGUCCGACAUUGUCCUCAACAUGAUGACCUCUGCUGGACUGUUCUGGAAGUUGCAACGUGUACCGCCAAUCCCGAACGUCCGCCGCAAAAGAGCUGAAAAAAUAGUGAAUCCAUUCUCUGCAGCUGGUCACAAACUGAGCCCUCAUCUCCACGGUGCCUUCUCGUGCCGAUGCCGCGCGGUUUCCGCUUCGCCGCUUCGAGCGUGCCCGUGUCUGCGUGUGCGCUGUCUCGGACGGAGACAGCAUGGCUGGCGUCAGACGUUCGCGUCCCUCUUGCGCCAUGUGGAGGCGAAUUAAAAGCCUGUACCAGCGCAGCAACAUUCCUGACCGCAGAGUGCUGAAUAAACUCCUACUACUGAAACCCAAU